rnacentral:lncRNA from 1 species
UCAAAUUAAAUAAUAACAUAAUAAAAAUAAUUCAAAUGUAUAUACUUGAAAUAAACUUCAACAAAAAAAAUAUAAUUUGCGUAGUACUAUACCCAUACUAAUAAAGCACUACUAUUUCAAGAAGUUCACAAGCAAUGAACUUUACAAAACCGAAUGUAUUUCAUCAAAUAAUAAUAAAUUGAAAAUUAAAUUUUGAACAUUAUUUAGGUCAAUAAAAAUUAUCUAGGCCAAAUUAAAUUUUGAACUUUGGGAAUCCUUGAGCAGUACCUUCUCCCCAACCAUGUAAGCAACAUCACAGACCUUCCUAUUGGCAUAACUCUUCUGUCUAGAGUGCACUAUGCGAAGCCGUUCCUGAAUCAUCUUAACCUUAUCCAAAGCAUCCCGGACCAAGUCAGUACCCAUUAGCCAACGCCUCUAAGUCAGAAUCCGGGCUAGAAACGACGCAUGCAUCCGUCGUCCGCUUGCCGACCGGCAGUAGGGGCCACAAUAUCAAUAACAAUAAACGUCACAAUUGUUCAAAAAGUAUGCAUCAUUCACGUCAAUAGGUCAAAUUGAUUUGUGGCCACAUUUUUAAUUGCAUCACUCGCAUUUUCCUGCACAUUCAAAAUGAAAUUAAAAAUUAGAAAAAAAAACCUAUAUAUAGUAUGCAUUGGUUAUAGCAACAUGUCUUACUAAUAACUAAUGAGGUUUAUUUCACUACUAAAACAUAACUAAGUCAAACACAAAAAAAGAGGUGCAAGCUAAGGAGAAGCAAAGUUGUGAAUUAAUAACUUGCUUACAUCCCAAAAUCACAGAAUGCUUUGCCUCGAUUUCGAUAUGAGCACAUGCAUAAUAAUAGUGAGAUUUGGAAAAGACAAGGAUUUCAACGUAUCCUACACUUGAAAGAGGUCAAAGAAUAUUCUAAUUCCCUUCAAAAGGUUUAGUACUUUGUGUAAGGGCAUAUUAUACCAAUUAUAUUCGUGAAAUAUAUUUUCCUUCCAUUCAUUCAUAACUCCUGUUAUUAUGUAAUGGAAUCAUCAAAAGCAAAUAGUUUAGAAAAACAUGGUCUUAUAAGUUUAGAGUGUGAAAUAUAAAUAUCUUUUCAAGACUCGGAGCAUGAGUUGAGCCAGAAGAAUGUGAUAGAUUUUGGCCACUCAUUCCUCGUACACUACUUGCAUCAACGGGUGAAGGAAGAUUAGAUCCGGCACACCCUUGUAUAUCAUGAAUAUUUAGUCCAGGGUUAUUUUGUACCAUUUGAACAAAAAAAUAUCGCAUUUCUUCUCUCAUUAUUUCCUUCAUUUCUUCCUUCAAAGAAGUUAUUUCAUUAGCAUGCUUUUGUUGAAGCUUGCUGAUUUCCUCAUCUUUUUUCAGAGAUCUUAUCGUCACCGAUCUACCAUAGCAUCUAACCGGACCAGGUUGCUCGUUUCCAAACACAAUCUUAAAUGCAUCAUCUGCUGUUUCUUGAAACUUUGACGAUUUUGAAGUUCAGACCGUUAAAAAGAAAUAUUACUGAAUAUCACUUAGUGGAUAUGCUAUAGAAAGUAAAAAAUAAUAACAUUUGAAUACAGAAAUGGAGCAGCUAUGCCGAAUAUUGUGUAGAAAUACAGUUGAAAAAUGCAAAAAUCCAGAAAGGCAGUGCAAAAAUAUAGAAGCACAUAGCAUACUGUGCUAGUGUGCUUAAUAGAACAAGUAAAGUUUCAACUGAACCUUUUGGAAUGUAAUACAUAUACUGAUUAGAGAAGUGGAAAUCAGUCUCCUUUGGUACCAGGUGACAGAUUUUCAGCUCCUCUGUGAUUUGAAAUUACCAUUACAUGACAGAAUUCUCAUAAUUUAUUGCUUAGUUAAUUCACUGCUUGUUACUUCUUUUCACAUCACUUAUUUUGCUAUUCUGGAAUCCGUAUGUAGCGAGUCCAUGCAUUAUAACUUCUGAUGGCUUUGUUGUAACCUAUGAAUGGUAAGAGACAUAACAACUUUAAGGAGUGUUUGAUUAUAGUAGUAUGACAUAUUUGUGGUAUAGAGGGAGUAAGUUUAUUUGGACUGACAAAAAGAAGAAACACGAACUAACCUAAUCCUUGAAAGAUUGAAUCGAUGUCUUGCCAAAAAUAGGAAAAUCUUGAUAAUACCAGUAGAUGACAGCUUAGUCAUGCUACGGAACUUAACUUCUUCCUCCUAGUAAAAUCUUUUUUCUUCUUCCACCUGAUAAAUAUAGAUAAUUUUCAGACAUGACCAACUUCAACUCAGUUCUGUACAAGUCCACACAUGUGAAUUGUGACCCCCACCUUCUAAAUGACCAUCCAAAAUAGCAGGAAUUCUCUUAACUUAAACACAAAUUUCACAUGUAGGUGUCAUAUGUGGAAGGGUAAAAAUUAGCUGAAGUAAUACUUACUUUGUCAAACACUAAUCACGUGGUAGAAAUUAUCUAAAAUAUGUUUUGACCAGAUCUGAUCAACUCUUUCUCGGCAACUUCACAGCCAACUUUCAGUAGCACAGAAAUAAAUCUCACAAUCUGCAAUUAAAAAGAAUAUCGAUAAGAACACAAAGAUAAAGGCUGACCUGAGAUUGUCAACUUAAUAAUUUAGCAAAGCUGCAAAGAUAAUUGGACAUAUAUGCUAAGAUUCUCUACUCAGCUUCUAUUUCACAUACUAAAAGCUGAUAAGAGAAGAUCAUAUUACGAAGUAUAUAACUUUGGAUAUCUUUUUGGCAUAACAUUAUUCAAAUAUAAAAUGAUCAAAUUGUAGAACAAUUGAAAGAUCAGCUCAUUGAAAUAGUAUAAUUUCUUAGUUUAAUUAUACGCCCUUAGUUGUAUAAAUAAGUAAAAAAAAAUGAUCUCAUGCUGCGUCUUCAAAAUCAAACUCAUCUUCUGAUAUCAAGGAAUAUUGAUUAAUACUCGAGCACAUAAAGGAGAAAAGCUCAUAGAAACAGAAAUACCUCUACGAAAUUUUAUAGUAUUAGAAAUUUAAUACGUCUAUCAAGUGAUUGCAAAUCAGAACAAACCAAAAGAAGAACUAAGGAAAUAGAAUUUUACACCCCAAGAAAACUCAAAUAUUAACUCUCAAACAAGAAUUCUGGUCAAGCGAUUUGCGUGUGACUAUCAUCUCUGACAAGGCUAUCCAAAAAUAGUUGACGAUUGAGUUUACUGGAGGUCGAACGGUGUUGUUGUUACAUAUUAUGUUACCUCAAAGUAUAGUGGAUAGCAGUUAAAGCUAGCUGCCUUAACUGAUUAGGGUAGGAAAACAAAACUUAGCAGAUGCCUCCCUUAAUCAUAAAAGAGUAAGAUAGCCCAUUUUGAGCUAAGAAGUUAUAAGAAUUGAGAACAAUACCAGUUUUGACUUAUGAGCUGUGAGAUUGUCAUAUUAGCUUAUAUAUAUGAUACUUUGAGUUUCACUACACUUACUUGAUAGCAUGCAUGUCUCUUUAAAAGUUAUUUUUGAGGGACCAGCCCCAAAAUAAAAUAUUAAUUCAAAGAAAGAAAAUAACAAGUUGCAAUGGCAACUUGUUUGCGAUAAGGGCGGCUAAAAUAAAGUUGCAAGUUGCAACAAGACCAAAACAGAAAUAAUUCUGGACGAUGCAAAUUGCAAAGAACAAAGCAUUUUUAUUGGUUGAAAGCUU